AAAUUUACAGAUAAACCAUGACAAAAAAUGGGAGGAAAAGGUCAGACAGAUGAAGUUGCAAAGGUGCCUGUUUUUGAGCAUGCAAUCUUUUAGUCUUUCAUUGACUAUUCUGCCAACAAAUGCCUCCGUGAGACAUUCCUGUCUUGCAUAAAGGUCGCUGAAGAGGGAAAGAGGCAGGGAACCUGCUGGAGGGGGAGAUCCCAGCACGAAACCCACCUUCAGAGCAGCUCCUCAGUGACCCGUGCAUAUCGUCACGUGUGUAAGAACUGCUUGGGCUGGGAAGGGAGGGGAUCUGUUUUGGUUUUUUAAAUUGUUUAAAAAUAAAGUAAGCUGCUAUUUUAGAAUUUAUGAACAGAAAGAUUGAAUUUAGCCUCUCUACAAAUACUUUAUGCUGAUGGAAUUAUUGUUGUUUCUCACUUUAAAAUACUAUUGCCCUCGUGCUCAAACAAAACACUGAAAUGAGGAAGCAUCCAGGGAUGAGUUCAGCUUCCAACAUACUCCCCAAUUACCCCCACACAUCAUUUGUAAUCCCUCAGCAUUACUUCAUCUGUGUAGCAGAUUUCUGUUUCCUGGUAAUAGCUAUUUAUUUUAGUCCCAUUUUUAAUAGAGGGACUUGGGAAGUAGAAGCAGAACAGGACAGAGAUCAUCGACCAUGUCCCCAACCAGCUGGACAGGGAGUUUCGAGGUCAUUAGCCACACUACUAAACAUCUAAUGGCAGGGGAAAAAAUCCUGUUAAUGCUAAUGAGUCAGAUUCCCUGAUCAGGGACUGGGAGUUACUCCCUGCAUGUUUAUAUGGUAGUAUCUUAGCUGCAUAAAUCAAAGGAAAUCGGAUAUAUAAAUACGAAUGUAAUACAGUUAAUGACUAUUCAUGUUUCUAGGUAUUUGUUGGCCAAAACAAAUGGUUAUGAAAGCAGUAUUCUUACUGCAUUGUACCAUUAAUUGCACAAGAACUUACUGCCUGAAAUAUCUCAGAUUUAAUGUGGAAAACAUUAAAACUUAGAGCAGGUUAGUUCAAAUAAGAGCCAAAACAAACUCGUAGAAAAGCACAACUAUGCAGUCUCCUACUGAUGAAGUAGGAUUAUCUUUUAGAGGGUCUUUUUAAGUAAAUAAAGGGGGGAAGAACGGCAUGAGGUGUACUUGUGAAUCUAUGCUUUGAUCAUAAACACUACUAAUUGCUAUUUGUUUCCCUAAGAGGAAACUCCUUAAACCAAUACCCGUACAGUACUUAUUACUGACAGCUAUUUGAGUUGACUUUUAAUUCUGGCUUUCAACAACACAUUUCUUCUGGUAUUUCUGUUACUUAAACACCAUCUGUAACUCUAUUCAGGAACAAGACUAGCAACACUUCCUCUGGAUUUCAGUUACACUCUUUUUGCUUAGAGGAAAAUACUGUCAGCAAAACUGAAUAUUAAAAAUCAAAAACCAAAAAACUUCUGUUUUUUAGCUUCAUAUAAUUCAAUUAAAGUUACACUGUUAGCAAGACAGUAACAUAAAGCCUGUAAAACUUGAAGGUGUGCACGAUAUCAUUUCCCCUGUAUUAUAUUCUGUGUUUUUCAUAAUGCAAAAUCAACAGCUGGUGACUGCAGGUCAGCUGUUUUGACAGCUGUAAAAAGUUUAAUUUGUAUGUAAAUGGGACCCAAUAAUCUUUUAUCCAUAUUAAAACAUACCAGGUUUUAGACUUAUUGAUACUUAUUUCAGAAUUAAUUCAAUUUUUCAGCUGUGACUUUGAUUUGCUAUCAAACAUAUUCUGGCAAAAACUUUUUAAGAUAUCAUUUUCCAACAUCUCAUUUUCAAUCCAGCAUGGUAUUUUUGAUUAGCAAAUUAACCACCUGUGUACACCUAUAACAAACAGCACAAUGUAAAACUGCUUAACACUUUCCCUACUUUCACUGUUUCUGUUCCUUUCUAGGAUUUGGAUAAUUUGUGAUACAAAUUCUUUUGGGAAUGGCAGCAUUUCAUUUAAUCAUCCCCUUCUACCAAGACCCCAUCCCUAUUUCUUAUUUUGUGUUUGUAACUCAGAAGAACAACUAAGUUUUUGUCAGUUUCCUUGAUCAUUCUGGAUAAAAUCUUAAGUGCUAAGUGGGGGUUUGAGACUCGCCUCAGACCUCAGGUACUAGAGUCUCCGAAGAACUUACUGAGACCAGCCAGCAGUACUUACUGAAACAGCUUUCUGCAUAUACACAUCCUAGAGGAGAUAAAUGAAUUCCCUUACACAACACCAAGUACUUAAUAACAAACUUUGCCAGCUGCUUCCCUAGCUCACAGCCUUCCUCACAGCACCUAAGCGCCCCGGGGCAGAGCAGGGGCCGUUAUGACUUGCACAGCCAGACCGCCUCAGGCCUUUUGGGGCUCUCUGUAAGCUGCAGGCCCAGCCGACCCCAGGCGUCCCAUUUUUUUGUGCUUUUUGGUUCGUUUGGCGGGGCGGGGGCUCUGGCUGUGCAACACCGGGCGGGCGGAGGAGGUCCCGGGGUUGGGAUAAGAAGGGUGGGGACAGGAGGGAAGGGGACAGGGCCGGGCCGGGCAGGGCAGGGGGCUCCAGUCAGCCCCGAACCCGCCCCCGACGCCUUUAAAGGACCCACUGGGGGCCGCCCUACCCUGCCCCGCCCCGCCCUGUCCGCGGGGCCAGAAGCCGCAGCCCGCUCGGGGGAGGGCGGUCACGGAGCUCUGGGGGUUCUCACCGGGGGGGGCUGCAGCUCCCUAAGCGUGGCGAGGCAUGGCUGCAGGCGUGCCCCGUGUUACCAAAGGCCGCGGUAUGUGCCGUCCUCCCUCGGAGCGGCGGAGAGUGGACUGUUUGGAUUUGAACUAUUCAAGAAAGGAACCAUCUGUUUUUACAAACAAGUGGGAAAAGAGCGAGAGAAAACAAAAUAGCAUACAUUUGAAGAAUCCCAAUCUAUGUUCAACGUGUUGCGUGUGUAUUUGUUAACAGGAAUUUAUGGAAUGACUUUUAAAGCAUUGGAAUGGGACCAUUGUGGUCAUCUAACUUCACUCUGUAUAUUCAAGGAAUUCCAUUGUCUUGUUACCACAGUUGGAGCUGUACAUUUAGGAACGCUUCUUAAAACCCAUAGAGUCAAGACAACCUCCCAGUUCUAGAAAAAUCAAGUUCAGUAAAAUAGGGGGACAAACUCUUGCUCAUCUCUUUUGUAAUAUCCUUGUAUCUUCUGCAAAGACAUGAUACUGGACAGAAUUCUGGUCCAGAAGUACUUGUCUCAACUAUAUACUUGUACUGCGUGCUAUCAGUACAUACAAAACAAAACUUUUUUUUUCCGCCCUCACAAGUAAUUUAUUGUCUGUAACAUAGGACACUAAAUGCAUUGCUGCUUCUCUGUGGUAUGUAUCCUGAUUGGAAUAUCCCUUCAUGCUUAAUACAAAGCAUUGCUUUUGAUCUUAUAUUUGAGUCAGGACACUUAAAGGGGGAAAAAAAGUUUCCUAUAGUUUGCAGUAAGCAACAAGAUCUGGUCAGCUUUGAACCAUGGGUCAAAGUAUAACAAACCAACAGGAUACUGCAGUGAUCCAAGUCUAAGUUAAGUACUAAAAAUAUUUUCCCUCUUACACUACCUUGUGACUGCAGUAAUUAAAAUGCAGAUAGUUGAAGUUAGUUGUUGAGUUAACCUCCUGUGUGAACAGGGAGCAGGGCAAGUACAGUUCACUCCAGAAAAUGUUUGGUUUGCUGAAAUGAGAGUCACUACCCAGUGAGUCAUGUUAGGACUCCACCCACUGUAGUCCAAACAUCAGCGUUUCAUGCAAACAUUACAACUGCCGUCAGGGUCUCCUGUUCUGCUGGGUGGAACCACACUAAAAAUAGACACUUCAUCCUUACUCAGAGCAUGCAAGGAGAACAGCAGGUUGUUCUGCUAGAUUACUUGAAAUAGCAGCAUGUCCAACAAUUUUCACCACUGAUGUUUUACUCCUUAUGAUUAAAACCACUCAUUUCAGAUUAGUUACUAAUAAGUAGAUGGCAUACAUCCACAGGCUCACAAAAUUUUGCAACAGACUGAAGUAUUUUGCCAAGAAACUUAAAUGACUCAGCUGACGAUGCAAAGUUAGUGACCUUCAUCCCAGUAUACCGAAAUAAUCAGCAAAUGAAAUUGUGAUUCUGGCAGCAAGGAUAUUUUUUUAAAUACCAAAUUGCAGAUUACAAGUUUUGUUACUCUCAACAACAUAGAAUGCUUACUCUUAUCUCCGCUUUCCAAGGCUUACAACCAAACACAAAGAUGUUCAUGUUAAAGAUGAAUCACUGGACGUACUGGAUCAGGCUGACACAACGUUUAUUCUGAUUGAGGAAUUCAGUAUAAGUCGCUUGGACUUGACAAGAAGAACCCAUAAUUAAACUAGAGAAGACAGAAAUUAGCAUGACCAAGGAGGAAGAAUUUGAAAGUAAGCACAAAGGCCAUAUUGAAAAAGGAAUUUGUUGAAUUCUGCUAAGUUGGUCUGGGAUCAAUUCCAAGUUUUCUCUUAAAAUGAGCACAGAAAUUCUCAAAAGUUAGGAACAAGCUAAUGGUACCUGCUGAUGAAACUGAAGUGUCACCAAUAUUGAGAAUAAUCCAAACCAGAAUAAGUAUGGGGAUCAUUAUAACAUCUAGAUUUGCUAAUUAAGAACUGCUGUAAUGCCAGGUCAUGCAUUUAAAUUAAUAAUUUCCAUGGUAAUUUGGAGGUCAACUGCAAGUGACAGCAGUGAAAGGAUUAGGGUGGUGCUCAGCCAUUGAAGAUGACAGACACCAAGAGGAAAACAAGGAAUUUCUAACAGGGAAGUACUAAUAUAUUCUUACAUCCAUUGAUCUAUACACUGAUACAGGUAUGGUCUUUACCAAAAAGAAAGACUGAAAUUAAGUUUAAAAUGAGCAGCUAAGUGAACAAAGCAUAAAUAGGGCAGGAGAAGAGAGGAGAUGCAGCUUAAUAUGUUUAGUGUAGCAAAAUGAAGACUGCUGCAUGAUGACUAUCUAUAACAGAUGAUGUAUAAAUACCAGGAAGAACAUGAAGUGAAAUUUAAUAAGGACAAAGGGUAUUUAGGUGUAUUUAAAACAGAUUUUAAGAUAUGGUUGGUCAAAACAGGAAAGAACCGAAUUCAUGAUUCAGGAAACUCCCUCUAAAGUAAAGCUAGUGGAUACAGGGAACCAGAGAACAUGGCAACAAUGAAGUAGUGGCUGUUAAACAUACCACAACUAGCAACACAAACUUCUUUCUCUGUUCGGAGAAAUGCAUCGUAUUAACCUUUUUCUUCCAUCACAUGAAUUUACGAUGUCAGACUGUAAUUGCUUUUUAGUUUAGCCAGCACAAAGCAGUUUGCAAGGACUUACUUUAGAUCUUAGUCUAAUCCUACAGUCAUCAUUACUAUAACUGUUCUGCGCAUCAUCAAUCCUAAGUACUUUACAGAUGUCAUAGGAAACCUGACUGUUGCAUACUGCCUAUCCACAAACUUCUCAUGAAGAAUCAUCCAAUUAUCAUCUGCAAGCCUUGCAGCACAACAGAGCACACAAGGAAGCUAAUUACCAUCAUGCAUCUGCAAUUCCCAUUGUGGUAUACAACUUUUGUUUCUACUGCUGAAACUGUAAUCAUUUAAGAAGUAUUGUGGUUUUAAUAAGGCAUUUCUAUUAGAAUUCAUCCAGCAAGUAUUGAUUUUGGUAAGCAACACAGAGUACCUUCAUGUGCUUGUGGAUUUUACAUUCACUUGCUCAAAAACGCAAACAAGCACAGGCUUAUACUAAGAAGAUGUCAGAAAAAAAGUAUAAUGUCUGUAUGCUAAUUAAACUGCAAGUUAUCAGAGGUUACCAUGCUCACUGAAAAGACAACAAAUAAUUAACAAUAAAAAUAAAAAAAAAUAAAAAAUAUUAACAAUAGCUUUGUCAAAGCUAUUUGGAGCAAUGCAUCCUAAACAGAAAAGGAAAAAAUCCCCCUAAUAGAUCCAAGAACUCAGUGAUUUACAAAUAAUAGCAAAUUAGAGCUUGAAAUCCUUGAUGUUGCUUGACUCCCAAGCUUUUUCCACCAGAUUACUUGUGCAAUUUCAGGUUUUCAGAUAUGAAAUUCCCUACAGUGGAGCAACAGAAGACCUUUAGGAUUUCCUGCCUAGAUUUUCGAACUUCAGAGAAGGCAAUGCCUCUUUCUUCAGCUUCCUAAGUAAUAAUGACACAGCACAGGAUUUACAAUCAAGCAAAAUGAUGCAUUACAAUGUGCUUGCAAUGUCAUCCUUCACAAGAGUGGCCACUGAAAUUUGAAAAUUCCGCAGUCAAAGCAAGGUUCACAAUACACCACUCACCCAGUAACAGAAUGGAUGGAAUCAAAUGUAGCAUUUUUAAGAUGGCAACUGCUUUUCUGCCCCAAUUCUAUGUAUUUGUCGCUGUGAUGUCUAGCAUACAACUGAACAUACAGAUUGUGGGCUCUUCUGACACCCCUGCUUUGCAGUGCAUCAUUCCACACAGGAAGACACAGCCUCAAUCCCUUGUAAUGCAUCAUCAUUCAUCUUCAGGUACACGUAAGGACUGUGGCAAAUUCCACAAUACCUUUUCUAUAGUAAUGAUCACAAAUUGAUCUUUCUUCUUAGAAGUUUGCAUUUUGUCCACAGCUGUUGACUAAACAGAAUAGCCAUUCAACGUGAAAACUUUCAACUCUGAAUCUUUCUUCUUACAUGUUAAUUUUCCUAACAGAGAAUGACAAGAGUUUACUACAAAGGGGAGAGAUCAGAGAAAUAAUAUGCUUUUUUUCCUCUGCUUAUUGCAGUAGUUACGAAAGACCUAUCCAGCUUUGCUGCUCAUUCUUUUCCUCCAUCUAUUUCAAGGCUUAUUUUAAAAAGAACACUGUGACCUGAAAAAUGCGUAUAAGUGGCCAAAGAUUGAAUAUUAAGUUUAAAGAAGAGAACGGGAAAAAAACAUUAGUGAGACUAGUAAAAAUGAGGCAAGUUUUAACACAUUUAAUGCUCACUUUGAAAAGAGGUGAAAUCUUUGCUAUGCUUUCAGUUUUCAGGCGCCUUGCCCUUGCAAUUAGAUCUUAGAAUUUAGCACUGAACCACUCAGGGAAUUCCCCAGAUAGGAACAACUAGAACAGGAUUUAUAGAUUUUUUAAUGGGUUUCUCACUCUUCGAUUAAUGUGGCAAAUUUUGCACAAAGGUAUUUGAGGUGAACACUGGCUUUGCAGGCUUCUCCAUGAUGUUUCUAAUUAAUUUCUCAAAACAGAUGUGUGCAAAUGCAUCAGAAAUAGUCAUUAGUACAUAAGCAUGAACAGGUAUGUUGUAGAAGAGGGGUACUUCUACUGUAUUAGGUGAAUCCACUGCAAUACAGUUGAACAGACUACCAAAGGUAAUGUAUUAGCUGAAAUUGUAAAAAGUUACAAUUCAGAAUGGCUUUCCUUCUGCUAAAAUUAAUUCCAGGUGAAAUAGGUUCAGGGGAAAAAUAGGAAGUUUCUGACCCAGCACUACAGGAUCAGGGAACAGGGAAUUCCUAUUUGAUGACAUCCAAUUUUUAAUCUCAGAAAUUCACUGAAGUAUAUUGCUGGGCUUUUCUUUUGCAAACAAGGAAACUCCAGUAGCAAUGGUUUGUAGGGUUUUCUAGCCCUAUGAACUUAGUUGCUAGUUUAAUUCUCUGAACCCCUACUUUAUGAGGGUGUAAUUCCGUUAUACUUUAUUUCCUUUUCCGAAGGAUCAAAUAUGCAUAGAAAUAAUAGAACAAUGUAAACUGAAUUUGGUGUCUCAUACCCCACCAAUGAAGGCCAUAUACAUAGCACUAUUUAUAAGCCAGUGACCAUUCUGUAGUCCCUCUGGAAAAGUAUAUUAUGUGCAGUGCAAGACACCUCCCUGGGUGCUUUAUUAGUUAGGGGGAAAACACAAGAAAGCUGCAGAAUUUGAGAUGACUUGCAUCCACUCUAGUUUGCAUUUCUGAUACCAUGUUAUCCCCUCCUUCCUCCGAAAGGGGAUUCAUUAUAC